rnacentral:rRNA from 1 species
GACGAACGCUGGCGGCGUGCUUAACACAUGCAAGUCGAACGGAAAGGCCUCUUUCGGGGGGUACUCGAGUGGCGAACGGGUGAGUAACACGUGAGUAACCUGCCCUUGACUCUGGGAUAACUUCAGGAAACUGGGGCUAAUACCGGAUAGGAGCUCCUGCUGCAUGGUGGGGGUUGGAAAGUUUCGGCGGUUGGGGAUGGACUCGCGGCUUAUCAGCUUGUUGGUGGGGUAGUGGCUUACCAAGGCUUUGACGGGUAGCCGGCCUGAGAGGGUGACCGGCCACAUUGGGACUGAGAUACGGCCCAGACUCCUACGGGAGGCAGCAGUGGGGAAUAUUGCACAAUGGGUGGAAGCCUGAUGCAGCAACGCCGUGUGCGGGAUGACGGCCUUCGGGUUGUAAACCGCUUUCGCUCAUGACGAAGCUUUGUGUGACGGUAGUGGGUAAAGAAGCACCGGCUAACUACGUG